rnacentral:lncRNA from 1 species
GUGAGCCAAGGUCAUGCCACUGCACUUCAGCCUGGGUAACAGAUUGAGACUCCAUCUCAAAAAAAAAAAAAAAAUAAGUGGUCACUAAAGAAGAUAUCCAGUUGGUAAAUAUGCACAUGAAAAGAUGCUCAACAUGAUUAGUCAGUAGGAAAAUGCAAAUUAAAACCACAGUGUGAUUCCACUUCUCACCCAUUACUAUGGGUAAUGUUUGGGAAAAAACUGACAAUACCAAGUGCCAAUGAUGACGCAGAAUAACUAAGUGUUAGAAGGAAUGCAAAAUUGUACAACAGUCACCCUGGAGAAUGGUUUGCCAGUUUCUUAUAUAUUUCAACACAUACCGUAUGACCUAUCAAUCUCACGGCUAGGUAUUUACUUAAGUAAAAGAAAAAUUUACAUUUAUAUAAAAAUCAGUACAUGAUAUCUGUGACAGCUCUAUUAGUAAUUGCCAAGAAUGGCAUGCAUACAAGGGAAUAUUUUAGCAAUGGGAAUAGCGCGUAUCUUCAUUAUGCUGGUAUUACCUGAGUGUAUACGUUUGUCAAAUCUCAUCAAAACGUACAUUUAAAAUUGGUGAGUUUUCUCAUAACCACACCUCAAUAAAACUCACUUUAAAAAAUUCUCUAAUCAGUUUAAAGAUUGUAUAGAAGGAGAUUUUAAGAGGAGCUGAAAAAACAGUGGCUUGGUAAGCAAAAUAGAAUUAUUAAAAGCCCCAAGUACUUUGAUUUCCUAAUGUUCAGUAUUUAGUGUUGCCACAUUGAUAGGAGCUUCUAGAGCAUUUAUAUUACUUUGACUCUCAUUUUUUCUUACUAUAAUUUUCUAAAAAAUAGAAAAUCUGCCUCCUGGAGAGAUAAAACAGAGGUCCAGUGCAAAUAGGAAUAAUGCAUAACUUCAUACUGGGUUGAUUCAUGUCUUCUAUGAAAGAAAUUAUUUUUUCAAGUUGCACGUAGUUUUAUUUGGAAAGUCAGUACCUGUUGAAUUAUUUUUGUUACCCUUAUUAUCAUGAAGUUUUGUGUUUUACUUCUCACAAGCAUUUAUUUCCUUUAAGCACAACACUGACUUUGACUGAAAGACAAAGGAAGUCAUAGCACCUCAAAGCUUGGUGAAUAAUGAAACAAAUGAUGAUACAUCCACACCACAGAAUCCUACUCAGCAAGAAAAAUAAACUAUUACUGCCUGCACAAAUUGGAUAAACCUCAAGGGAGUUACUCUGAGUGGAAAAAGCCAAUAUCAAAAGGUUUCGGGAAUAAAGGAGCAAGGAAGUUGGCAGCAUCUACAAAAUGAUAGCACAAAGGAGCCCUGUGAUGGAAGUGACCUGUACUUUGAGUGCAGUGAUGCUGUGGGGACCUGUUAGCAUCUUCUGUGUCAUCUCAUCCUCAUGGCAACCUUGUAAGGAAGAAGCCAACUUCAGGACAUUAAGCUACCAUAAGAAAAGAAACAGGAGGAUUCUCUUCUUUUGGAUCGUAUGGUACAGAUGCCGUGUGAAUGCCUAAUGAGUGGGAUCUGAACACAACUCUGCUAAUAAGGAAGUCUCCAAAAUGUAGUUCCUAGCUGUCCAGUUCCUGUGAUUCUUGAACAGUUGUUGAAGAGGAUGAGUAUAUUGUUGAAUGCCAACACAUAGUUCUGUUUUCCUUCACAGAGACAAUAUACAUGGGGAAUCAUCCCCAAAUAGAAAGAUGAGUUGCAUGCUGAACCAAAAGAUUACAGCAGUGUACAUAACAAUGUAACACUCAAAAGUUCUUUAUAUAAUAUGUGUUUCUAAACAGAUGAAAGCAUCCAAUAAAAAUUGAUUUUUAAACCACCAGUAAAUCUCUCUAAGUCAUUUUCAAACAUGAUCUUACGGUCUAUGUACCAUGA